GUCUUGUAAACCACAGAAGGCUUAAGCCCUAAGGCUUACGCAAAAGUGGCCGACUUAGG
rnacentral:tRNA from 1 species